GAUGAACGCUAGCGGCAGGCCUAAUACAAGCAAGUCGAACGGUAACAGGCCCAGCAAUGGGUGCUGACGAGUGGCGCACGGGUGCGUAACACGUAUGCAAUCUACCUUUAACUGGAGCAUAGCCCCGAGAAAUCGGGAUUAAUUCUCCAUAGCAUUAUGAAGUGGCAUCACUUUAUAAUUAAAGUCACAACGGUUAAAGAUGAGCAUGCGCGACAUUAGCUAGUUGGUGAGGUAACGGCUCACCAAGGCUACGAUGUCUAGGGGUUCUGAGAGGAUUAACCUCCACACUGGUACUGAGACACGGACCAGACUCCUACGGGAGGCAGCAGUAAGGAAUAUUGGACAAUGGUGGCAACACUGAUCCAGCCAUGCCGCGUGCAGGAUGACGGCCCUAUGGGUUGUAAACUGCUUUUGUACGGGAAAAACCCCUCUACGUGUAGAGGGCUGAUGGUACCGUAUGAAUAAGGAUCGGCUAACUCCGUGCC
rnacentral:rRNA from 1 species